AGGCUCCAGCCAUCCUAAGGUGCAUUCACAAUGUGCAUCGAGAAAAGUUAUGACCUGCCCUUUUGAAGCAGCUGCUCCUCGAAGGCGGGCACUAUGGACCAAAUGGAAUCAUGAGAGAAACUGAAAGAAUUAGUCGCAGACUCCUGGAAUUGGCACUGGCUAGGGGGAAGAAUAUUUAUACCUCUUUCACUGGCAUCAUCUACCAAGACGACCUCAGAGAGCAGAUAACGUGGGGAACGAUUUAU